rfam:Valsa mali var. pyri strain SXYL134 contig2740, whole genome shotgun sequence.
UGACCUCGGAUCAGGUAGGAAUACCCGCUGAACUUAAGCAUAUCAAUAAGCGGAGGAAAAGAAACCAACAGGGAUUGCCCUAGUAACGGCGAGUGAAGCGGCAACAGCUCAAAUUUGAAAGCUGGCUCCGGCCCGCAUUGUAAUUUGCAGAGGAUGCUUCUGGCGAGGUGCCUUCCGAGUUCCCUGGAACGGGACGCCAUAGAGGGUGAGAGCCCCGUAUGGAUGGACACCAAGCCUGUGUGAAGCUCCUUCAACGAGUCGAGUAGUUUGGGAAUGCUGCUCAAAAUGGGAGGUAAAUCUCUUCUAAAGCUAAAUACCGGCCAGAGACCGAUAGCGCACAAGUAGAGUGAUCGAAAGAUGAAAAGCACCUUGAAAAGGGGGUUAAACAGUACGUGAAAUUGUUGAAAGGGAAGCGCUUGUGACCAGACUUGCGCCGGGCGGCUCAUCAGGGGUUCUCCCCUGUGCACUCCGCCCGGCUCAGGCCAGCAUCGGUUCUCGUGGGAGGAUAAGAACGGUGGGAACGUGGCCCCCCUCCGGGGGGGUGUUAUAGCCCACCGUACGAUACUCUCGUGGGGACCGAGGUUCGCGCUCCGCAAGGAUGCUGGCGUAAUGGUCAUCAGCGACCCGUCUUGAAACACGGACCAAGGAGUCGUCCAUUAGAGCGAGCGUUUGGGUGUAAAACCCGCACGCGUAAUGAAAGUGAACGCAGGUGAGAGCUUCGGCGCAUCAUCGACCGAUCCUGAUGUCUUCGGAUGGAUUUGAGUAAGAGUUUUAACGGACGGACCCGAAAGACAGUGAACUAUGCUUGUAUAGGGUGAAGCCAGAGGAAACUCUGGUGGAGGCUCGCAGCGGUUCUGACGUGCAAAUCGAUCGUCAAAUAUGAGCAUGGGGGCGAAAGACUAAUCGAACUGUCUAGUAGCUGGUUACCGCCGAAGUUUCCCUCAGGAUAGCAGUGUUGUUCUUCAGUUUUAUGAGGUAAAGCGAAUGAUUAGGGACUCGGGGGCGCUUAUUAGCCUUCAUCCAUUCUCAAACUUUAAAUAUGUAAGAAGCCCUUGUUACUUAAUUGAACGUGGGCAUUCGAAUGUACCAACACUAGUGGGCCAUUUUUGGUAAGCAGAACUGGCGAUGCGGGAUGAACCGAACGCGGGGUUAAGGCGCCAGAGUGUACGCUCAUCAGACACCACAAAAGGCGUUAGUACAUCUUGACAGCAGGACGGUGGCCAUGGAAGUCGGAAUCCGCUAAGGACUGUGUAACAACUCACCUGCCGAAUGUACUAGCCCUGAAAAUGGAUGGCGCUCAAGCGUACCGCCCAUACCCCGCCCUCAGGGUAGAAACGAUGCCCUGAGGAGUAGGCGGCCGUGGGGGUCAGUGACGAAGCCUAGGGCGUGAGCCCGGGUCGAACGGCCCCUAGUGCAGAUCUUGGUGGUAGUAGCAAAUACUUCAAUGAGAACUUGAAGGACCGAAGUGGGGAAAGGUUUCAUGUGAACAGCGGUUGGACAUGAGUUAGCCGAUCCUAAGCCAUAGGGAAGCUCCGUUUCAAAGUGGGCACUUGUGCCCCCCUCGGCGAAAGGGAAGCAGGUCAGUAUUCCUGCGCCUGGAUGUGGGUUUUGCGCGGCAACGCAACUGAAAGAGGAGACGGCGGCGGGGGCCCCGGGCAGAGUUAUCUUUUCUUCUUAACGGCCUAUCACCCUGGAAACAGUUUGUCUGGAGAUAGGGUUUAACGGCCGGAAGAGCCCAGCACUUCUGCUGGGUCCGGUGCGCCCUCGACGUCCCUUGAAAAUCCUCUGGAGGGAAUAAUUCUCACGCCAGGUCGUACUCAUAACCGCAGCAGGUCUCCAAGGUGAACAGCCUCUGGUUGAUAGAACAAUGUAGAUAAGGGAAGUCGGCAAAAUAGAUCCGUAACUUUGGGAAAAGGAUUGGCUCUAAGGGUUGGGCACGUUGGGCUUUGGGCGGACGCCCUGGGAGCAGGUUGGCACUAGCCGGGUAACCGGCCGGGGCCUCCCAGCACCCGGUGGCAGAUGCCCUUAGCAGGCUUCGGCCGUCCGGCGUGCGUUUAACAACCAACUUAGAACUGGUACGGACAAGGGGAAUCUGACUGUCUAAUUAAAACAUAGCAUUGCGAUGGCCAGAAAGUGGUGUUGACGCAAUGUGAUUUCUGCCCAGUGCUCUGAAUGUCAAAGUAAAGAAAUUUAACCAAGCGCGGGUAAACGGCGGGAGUAACUAUGACUCUCUUAAGGUAGCCAAAUGCCUCGUCAUCUAAUUAGUGACG